rnacentral:rRNA from 1 species
UACAGAGGUCUCAAGCGUUGUUCGGAUUCAUUGGGCGUAAAGGGUGCGUAGGUGGCGCGCUAAGUCAGGUGUGAAAUCUCGGGGCUUAACUCCGAAACUGCAUUUGAUACUGGCGUGCUUGAGGACUGGAGAGGAGACUGGAAUUCAUGGUGUAGCAGUGAAAUGCGUAGAGAUCAUGAGGAAGACCAGUGGCGAAGGCGGGUCUCUGGACAGUUCCUGACACUGAGGCACGAGGGCCAGGGGAGCAAACGGG